rnacentral:rRNA from 1 species
GACGAACCGUGCGAACGUUAUUCGGAAUCACUGGGCUUAAAGCGCGUGUAGGCGGGACGGCACGUCGGUCGCUGAAAGCCCCCGGCUCAACCGGGGAACGGGCGCCGAUACGGCCGCCCUGGAGGAACGUAGGGGGACCUGGAACUUCCGGUGGAGCGGUGAAAUGCGUUGAGAUCGGAAGGAACGCCCGUGGCGAAAGCGAGGUCCUGGACGUUUACUGACGCUGAGACGCGAAAGCCAGGGGAGCGAACGGG